ACGCUAGCUACAGGCUUAACACAUGCAAGUCGAGGGGAAACGGCAUUAAGUGCUUGCACUUUUUGGACGCCGACCGGCGCACGGGUGAGUAACGCGUAUCCAACCUUCCCAUGACUAAGGGAUAACCUGCCGAAAGGCAGACUAAUACCUUAUGGUCUUCACUGACGGCAUCGGAUGUGAAGUAAAGAUUUAUCGGUUAUGGAUGGGGAUGCGUCUGAUUAGCUUGUUGGCGGGGUAACGGCCCACCAAGGCAACGAUCAGUAGGGGUUCUGAGAGGAAGGUCCCCCACAUUGGAACUGAGACACGGUCCAAACUCCUACGGGAGGCAGCAGUGAGGAAUAUUGGUCAAUGGGCGAGAGCCUGAACCAGCCAAGUAGCGUGCAGGAUGACGGCCCUAUGGGUUGUAAACUGCUUUUGUAUGGGGAUAAAGUCAAUCACGUGUGAUUGUUUGCAGGUACCAUACGAAUAAGGACCGGCUAAUUCCGUGCCAGCAGCCGCGGUAAUACGGAAGGUCCGGGCGUUAUCCGGAUUUAUUGGGUUUAAAGGGAGCGUAGGCUGGAGAUUAAGUGUGUUGUGAAAUGUAGACGCUCAACGUCUGACUUGCAGCGCAUACUGGUUUCCUUGAGUACGCACAACGUUGGCGGAAUUCGUCGUGUAGCGGUGAAAUGCUUAGAUAUGACGAAGAACUCCGAUUGCGAAGGCAGCUGACGGGAGCGCAACUGACGCUGAAGCUCGAAGGUGCGGGUAUCGAACAGGAUUAGAUACCCUGGUAGUCCGCACAGUAAACGAUGGAUGCCCGCUGUUGGUACCUGGUAUCAGCGGCUAAGCGAAAGCAUUAAGCAUCCCACCUGGGGAGUACGCCGGCAACGGUGAAACUCAAAGGAAUUGACGGGGGCCCGCACAAGCGGAG
rnacentral:rRNA from 1 species